UUGGAGGGCAAGUCUGGUGCCAGCAGCCGCGGUAAUUCCAGCUCCAAUAGCGUAUAUUAAAGUUGUUGCAGUUAAAAAGCUCGUAGUUGAAUUUCGGGGUCAGCAGGUUGGUCGUGCCACUGGUAUGAACUGGCCUUGCUGAUUCCUUCUUCUUGAAGAACCGUGAUGCCAUUAAUUUGGUGUUGCGGGGAAACAGGACUGUUACUUUGAAAAAAUUAGAGUGUUUAAGGCAGGCUCACGCUUGAAUACAUUAGCAUGGAAUAAUAAAAUAGGACGUUUAUCCUAUUUUGUUGGUUUCUAGGGUUGACGUAAUGAUUAAUAGGGAUAGUUGGGGGCAUUAGUAUUCAAUUGUCAGAGGUGAAAUUCUUGGAUUUAUUGAAGACUAACUACUGCGAAAGCAUUUGCCAAGGAUGUUUUCAUUAAUCAAGAACGAAAGUUAGGGGAUCGAAGACGAUCAGAUACCGCCGUAGUCUUAACCAUAAACUAUGCCGACUAGGGAUCGGAUGAUGUUAAUUUUUUAAUGACUCAUUCGGCGCCUUACGGGAAAC
rnacentral:rRNA from 1 species